GGCGGACGGGUGAGUAACGCGUGGGAACGUGCCCUUCUCUAUGGAAUAGCCACUGGAAACGGUGAGUAAUACCAUAUACGCCCUUCGGGGGAAAGAUUUAUCGGAGAAGGAUCGGCCCGCGUUAGAUUAGGUAGUUGGUGGGGUAAUGGCCUACCAAGCCUACGAUCUAUAGCUGGUUUUAGAGGAUGAUCAGCCACACUGGGACUGAGACACGGCCCAGACUCCUACGGGAGGCAGCAGUGGGGAAUCUUAGACAAUGGGCGCAAGCCUGAUCUAGCCAUGCCGCGUGAGUGAUGAAGGCCUUAGGGUCGUAAAGCUCUUUCGCCAGAGAUGAUAAUGACAGUAUCUGGUAAAGAAACCCCGGCUAACUCCGUGCCAGCAGCCGCGGUAAUACGGAGGGGGUUAGCGUUGUUCGGAAUUACUGGGCGUAAAGCGCACGUAGGCGGAUUAGAAAGUUAGGGGUGAAAUCCCGGGGCUCAACCUCGGAACUGCCUCUAAAACUCCUAGUCUAGAGUUCGAGAGAGGUGAGUGGAAUUCCAAGUGUAGAGGUGAAAUUCGUAGAUAUUUGGAGGAACACCAGUGGCGAAGGCGGCUCACUGGCUCGAUACUGACGCUGAGGUGCGAAAGUGUGGGGAGCAAACAGGAUUAGAUACCCUGGUAGUCCACACCGUAAACGAUGAAUGCCAGUCGUCGGGUAGUAUACUGCUCGGUGACACACCUAACGGAUUAAGCAUUCC
rnacentral:rRNA from 1 species